AGAUUGAACGCUGGCGGCAUGGCUAAAACAUGCAAGUCGAGCGCGAAAGGGAGCAAUCCCAAGUAGAGCGGCGAAAGGGUGAGUAAUACGUUCCUACGUACCUGAAGGUCGGGGAUAGCCAGGGGAAACUCUGGGUAAUACCCGAUGUGAUCGAGAGAUCAAAGGCUUGCCGCCUUCAGAGCGGGGAACGUCCUAUCAGGUAGUUGGUGAGGUAAAGGCUCACCAAGCCUUUGACGGGUAGCGGUGUGAGAGCAUGGCCCGCCACAUCGAAACUGAGACACUGUUCGGACUCCUACGGGAGGCUGCAGUAACGAAUCUUCCGCAAUGCGCGAAAGCGUGACGGAGCAAUGCCGCGUGCAGGAUGAAGCCCCUGGGUGUAAACGUGCUGCAGGGGUUAGAAACGCAAUGAUCUAACCCCAAAGGAAGAAGACGACUAAACUCUAGUGCCAGCCGAGACCGAC
rnacentral:rRNA from 1 species